rnacentral:rRNA from 1 species
UAUCUCUGUAGAGUCUGCAUAUCAAUAAGCGGAGGAAAAGAAACUAACUAGGAUUCCCUCAGUAACGGCGAGUGAAGCGGGAAGAGCUCAAAUUUGAAAUCUUCAAGGUUCUACCUUGACGAAUUGUAGUUUAAAGAAGUGUUUUCUGUUGGAGUUUUGGUAAAAGUUCUUUGGAAUAGGACAUCAUUAGAGGGUGAGAAUCCCGUAUUUGACCAUUACUUCCAGCGUUGUGAUACACUUUCAAAGAGUCGGAUUGUUUGGGAAUGCAGUCCAAAAUGGGUGGUAAAUUUCAUCUAAAGCUAAAUACUGGCGAGAGACCGAUAGCGAACAAGUACCGUGAGGGAAAGAUGAAAAGAACUUUGAAAAGAGAGUUAAACAGUACGUGAAAUUGUCAAAAGGGAAGCGUUUGACACCAGUGUUGUUUUCUCGAAAAUCAAUUAAAAAAGUCAGGAUUUUGUAUUGUAAUUGACCUUUAUCAGCUUUACUGCUACUCUUUUCUUGUCCUUUUUUAAUAGCACUUUUCGUUUAACAAGUCAACAUCAAUUUCUUUUGUUGUAAAGGGGUCAUUGGAAGGUGGCUUUCUUUUCGGAGAAAGUGUUUAUAGCCUUUGGCCUCUGCAAUCGGAGAGAUUGAGGUCUGCAGCGUAGAUCCUUCGGGGUUAGAUACAUUUGUGCUAAGUUAUAGCCUUUCAUAGACAACUUGUUGACUAUGAUCAGUCAUGUAGCUUACUCGCUUAUGCUAUUUUACCUACGCUUAGGAUGUUGACGAUCAGCUGAGCGCG